rnacentral:rRNA from 1 species
AGAGCGAACGCUGGCGGCAGGCCUAACACAUGCAAGUCGAGCGCCCCGCAAGGGGAGCGGCAGACGGGAGAGUAACACGUGGGAACGUACCCUUUGGUUCGGAACAACACAGGGAAACUUGUGCUAAUACCGGAUAAGCCCUUACGGGGAAAGAUUUAUUGCCAAAGGAUCGGCCCGCGCCUGAUUAGCUUGUUGGUGAGGUAACGGCUCACCAAGGCUACGAUCAGUAGCUGGUCUGAGAGGAUGAUCAGCCUCACUGGGACUGAGACACGGCCCAGACUCCUACGGGAGGCAGCAGUGGGGAAUAUUGGACAAUGGGCGCAAGCCUGAUCCAGCCAUGCCGCGUGGAUGAUGAAGGCCCUAGGGUUGUAAAGUCCUUUCGACGGGGAAGAUAAUGACGGUACCCGUAGAAGAAGCCCCGGCUAACUUCGUGCCAGCAGCCGC